AACAUGACAAAUAAAAAAUUAUAGCAAAAGACUGGUCAAGUAUCAUGUCUUUAUGUAAGACAUCAUGAAUCGUGUCCCAUAUGCUUCGGGUAUAGGAUCGAUUACAUGUGCUAUAAUAUUUAUCCGUUCGAAAAUUUUCAAAUGCCUAGGGAAUUAAGAGGGAAAAAGGAUUAGAACAGGAUAUGACUAAAAUGAUUAAGCAAUUAUCGAGGACAAUCUGAGGUUUACCAAAGAUUGGUUGCUCAUGGAGAGUUGGAUGUAUGGUGUAAAUUUUGAAAAGGACCAUAUUGACAUAUUUUGACAAGAGGCAACUCUUGUUCAGAAGUGAUAGUCAAAAUGGGAACAUGGAAAUAUUUCCAUAGGUGGAAGUUAUUCCUUAAAUUUGUGUAAGAUUAGAAAGCUUAAUGUAGGAAGGAUGUCACACCCCAAAACCUGAACGGCAGAAACGUUCUGGGGUGGAAGAGGUCAUGUCAAGUAUCACAACACAUGCAUUAUAGUAAUAAAAGUACAACAACCAUUGCAUUAAUAGUAAUAGUUUUACAUAGUUUACAUUACAAUACAUCAAAGUAAUACAAGUAAAUAUAAGUAAGUACAGCAUGGUACUAAGCUAUCUUCAUCAACAGCUCCGGGGAUGUACCUGUCUAAUGCUGACCUGAGAAUACAAGUUAUUUGAAAAGCGAGUAUCAACAUUUUUACAAAUGCUGGUGAGUUCAUUAGCAUUUAGUGACAUUUUAUUCAAAUAACUUUAUAUAAGUAGUAGUUUUCAAGUAUACAGUGAAAUAAAGUCCUUUCCAGAAAAUCCUAUAUUUUCUAUUUAAAAUGCAGUCUUCUACCAAGACUGGUCAGAGUUAUGUGGUAAAAAGUAGUUUUCUCUUAAACACUUUCAUUUUCAAAAUACAGGAUUUGCUUUUUAAGAAAGUCGGAAAAUAUCAUGGAAAGUAACAUAUGCCUCAGCAGUGACGACUGCUGACUAAGGCAAAAGGAAUAAUAGACUCCAAGAGAGUAUCGAAUGAACGACACGCCUGGCUCAGUCUAAUAGAAAGAGACACAGACCCCAGACGGUACCAAAUGAAAGGUAUAGCUAGUAAGGUCUAAAAAAGUGAACACAGACCCCAGACAUUAUCAACUGAAUGAUACGUCUAGCAAGGUCUAAAAUAGAGAAUAUAGUGAAUACAGACCCCAGACAGUAUCAAAUGAAUGAUACGUCUAGCAGGGUCUAAAAUAGUGUGACUCCGAUAGUGGGUUCCAGCAUACAGUGUAAAUUGCUGGUGAAAAACCAUUACCUUAAGGCCAUGAAUUAUAAGGUAACAUGGGAUACUCGUAACCAUACUAACCGACACUAGAGUACCUGACGCCCUACAAGCGUCUAGAGAAUAUGACAUUUGUCACCCCUUGGCUUGGUAGGCCGUGGACUGUAGCUAGCAGUCAGGGUGCGGGGGUGUCAAUCCCGUAUAGAUCUAUAAACAUAAUGUCCGCUCUCCCUACAGGAGACCAUGGUUACCAACUAGACGACGGAGAAGGCCGUGUCCCGAAGAUGCAUACCAAAUAGUGGGUAGUGUGUUUCCAAUACAGUGUUGAAUUAGAGGUAGAGACUCAUACCUGAACUGACUAAAGUAAACCUAUAUGUCUAUGUUUGUGUACAUAAUAUAUAAGUAAUGAAUCAAAUGACCUUCGGAUGGACAUCCGAUCCCACCAGACCACAUCUCAACGAAGAAAAGGAAAUAGGGCGGACAGGCCUUCCUAAGUCCUUCAAUCAUUAUUUAUAUGCAUCUAUACAAUCACAGACAUACAUCUAACUACGAUCAAGUGUGUAACAGUGGAAUCAUAUCGUGAAGUAUAAGCGUACAGUGUGGAAUAACCGAAUCGUGAUGUAUAAACGUAUAGUGUGGAAUAACCGAAUCGUGAUGUAUAAACAUACAAUGUGGAAUAACCGAAUCGUGAAGUAUAAACGUACAGUGUGGAAUAACCGAAUCGUGAAGUAUAAGCGUUAACCAAUAUAAGUGUAUCACAAAGUGGAAACGACAACAGGUGAAGUAAGAGCGUCUAAAAGGUAUAAGCUACUACAAGUAUAAGUGAAGUAGAGGCAAUAACAAGUAUAAAUGCAUCACGAAGUAAAGCGUUAUAAAGUAGGAACUUUAACUAACAAUGAGUAUCAAAACAUGGAAGAAAACCUUUAUUCUUGAGAAAAUCGCGACAGGGUAUUCUUUUGUAAAAUAAGUUGGAAAACCUUUAGAAAUUCUUUGGGAACUUUUCAUAAACUAGUUUAAAAUGAACUUUGAUAAAACAGUAUAAGUAAGAAUUUUGAAACAAGUGAAAACCUUUUAGAAAACCAUUUAUAGUGUCCUACUUGGUAAAACAGUUUACAGUGUGGUAAAUCCUUGUGCAUGCGGGUUAUCAAUCACAUGUGAUUGAUAUGAUAACUGGCAUGUUUAACUUGUAUUCCCCCCUAUAAAACAUGUAAAAACAUUUAAAAGGUUCAUUAAGGGGUAUGAACUCGCCUGGUGUAAGUGGAUCCGACGAAGGUGUCGGUUGGGUGCUCGGUGUCAAAUAAAGACUUGAACACACUUAGUGACCUAUUUAACAUAUGAUAACAUAUGUUCACAUACAAUUAGUAUAUUUAAUACUAAUUAAACAAGUAUACACACUCAAAGGAGCGGAAAACACUUUGGUUAAGUGUUUGGGGUGUCCCGGGUAACAUUUAAGGGCUAGAAUGGCUUAGGAUUGGAGUUUACUCUCCAAGAGUAAACUCUAUACUUAGUGUUUACGGCCCUGGGACAACUCCCAUGAGUUUGCGGCCGUAAACUCAUGGUGAGGGUGUUCUAGGAUGCUAAAAUGUCUCAUAUCAGUUGUGGGAUUUUCCUAGGUCCAAAUAUAAAAGGUGUGAAUGGAUUUAAAGCUUUACAUGGACCAUUGAGGAGUUUACGGCCCUAAGCAACAGAGCUUACGGCCGUAAGCUCCUAUACACUCAUUCUUUUGGUGUUUUAAGGGCUUAAGUGGUAGAGGGUAAAUUCCUAAGCAUUUUUCCAAGUCAAAUGGGGAGUUUAGGGCACCAAAUAACCCCUUUGUAAGAGUUUACGGCCCAUGUACCCUUCCAUGAGGGGUUUACGGCCGAGAACUCCUUAUGGAGUUGUUUUAAUUGUGUUCAAGGUCCCUAGCUUGUUGGUGGUUGAUUCUAGAAUUUAAUCUAAGGCCAUUGGUGUGUUUAAGGGCAUUUUUAACUCACAAAAAUGAGUUUACUCCCCAUGAAGAGGAGUUUACGGCCCAAGCAUGUUCUUGGGCAGUAAACUCAUGUUUACUCCCCAAAAUGCUAGUUCAAGGUGUUCUAAGUCCGAUUCCAUAAGGCUACAAGUCAUAUCUAAGCCUUAGGGACAAUUUAGAGGGGUUUUGGGGCUUAAAAACCCCAUUAAAUUGUGUUCACGGCCCAAGAGUGUUAUUGGGCCGUAAACUCAUGAUUUUGUCCCUAUUUUAUGAUUUAAACACGAAUUUGCAUGCUAGAUAGGUUAUACAACAAGUUAGGAUAGUUUACCUACUCGUUUGGGGCUCGAAAUGGACGAUUUUUGGAUCGGGAAAAAGUUAUAGAGAGAGAGUUUAGGGAGUGUAAAAAGUCUCCAAUGGACUCCACUCACCCUUAUAUAGGGGUUGGAGUUGGGGCUCAGUAGGAUUCUACCCGAUACUGCCAUUAAACGGGGCUUUUGGUCGCACCUGAUUUAGUGGUCGUAAUAAUAAAAACUAACUGUUUCCAAUUAAAUGGAAAUGCAACUUAAGUGUUUUUAUUUACUUUAUUACGACUAUAACGACACAAAAAUAUAAAUAAAUAAAAUGUUUAUUUAUUUUGCGACCUCUAAUUAACGGAACUUUUAUAAAAUGAAAUAUUCCGUUAAUGGUAACGGGGUGAUGUAACGAAAUAAACUUUGGGUUGUCACAUCAUCCCCCCGUUAGAGGGAAUUUCGUCCCGAAAUUCAGGUCUAGGCAAGGAAGUAGGUAUGAAUGAUAGAGGCAGGAGGGUACUUCCUAUUCGGUUUGUCCUCGUACUCCCAAGUGAACUCUGGCCUGUGUUUGUCGUUCCAACAAACCUUCACCUAUGGGAUGCGGAUUUCAGCCUCGUGUAGUUAGUGGGUUCCGACUGGUGUAUCUACGAGGUUAGGGUUCUCAAUGGUUUCUAUCAAGAUGUGUGGGAUACGAAGAGUGACGUCGGGCAACGCUGAUCAAGUCUAAAAAGUGGAUCGAUCGGGGGUGAAACUUGUGGAAUAUCCGGAAGUAGUAGUGGUCUGAUGACGGUUGGACCAAAUCUCGGUGAGGAUUCUCAGAUGGUCCUAAGCUCUCGGAAGGGUAGACCUUUUCAGUACCUAGAACAUAGUGUACUAUGGCAAGAUCAUCACUGGCUUGAUUGCCAUUCCGGAGUUCCUAACGUUCUCUCUCAUACUGGCAGGGUGGUCCUUCAGGUUGGUUCUUAGGAAGCUCGGGUUGUCCUUGGUUUCACGUUUCCUGUCAAUUGGCUUUUAGAGGUUUUCUAGGUCAUCGGAUGGGUUGCGUAUCUACGGUUAUCUGUCUGCUGUAGAGUGUCUAUCUCAAGCUCGUGCUAAAUGAACUUGCACUAACGAUUCUUGAGAUACGAAAACCCUUAGGUUCGGGGAGAUAGGGUUUCACCGGACAAGUGUUGGACUACCUCAGGAGGUGGUUCUACUAUUUCUGCGCGAGAUAGUAUUCAUGGAACACCUAGUAGUCCAUUGAAUCUGUAAGACGCGCCCUAAUUUCCAAGGCGUUGGUUCAGGGCCGGUCCAUUGUUUUUUACUACCCGGGGCGAGAUAAAAAAAUUAUGCCCUUAUAUGUGUAAGGUACAAUAACAAAAACGUAUAAUCAAACAAAUGUAGUAAUUUCUAAUAUAAAAAAUGCAGUAAUUUUUAUAAUCAAACAAAUAACACAACCAAAAUAUACAAAAAUCACCUAAAACGAUGUCUUCGCGCAUUUUUUGAAGCGAAAACAUCUCUUAUUUUACAAUAAUCAAUAUUUUUUAGAAAAUCACUUUCAAUACUUAAAAUUGCUAAUCCAUUCAAUCUUUCUUGAGUCAUGGUACUUCGGAGAUACGAUUUCAAAAGCUUCAAUUUUGAAAAACUUCUUUCCGCGGAAGCAACCAUAACCGGCACCGUCAAUAAUAUCUUAUAUGCAACCAACACAUUAGGGAACAUAUCCAUUCUUCUUGCAUACUCCAUUAUUUGAAUAGAUGUCCAAGGACUUUGACUUUUGUAUGCUUCAUCCGGCAACAUUUUCUGCAAAAGUUUUAACUCAAUGAAUAAACCAUCUCCAUCAAUAUCAUAAUCUUCACCAUUUUUCAAAUUGGACUCAAGAUUUAAACAACAUUUCUUUAAUUCAUCAUCAACUAAAGAAACUAAUUUGGAACCAUCAAACAAAAAACCAAAUAUCGAUUCAAAAUAUUGCAUUUGUUCAAAUCUACUUUUCAAUUGAACAAGAGCCAUAUCAACAAGAAUAAAAAAAUAAUCUCUUUUAAAUGCUUCUUGAGAAGAUUGGUGUUCUCUUUCGGUAUUUGGAAUUUCAUCAAAAUGUUGUUUUCUUUUUUUAUUGCGUUUUUGAGGAAAUUCGGGUUUAACUUUAACACUAUUUGCUAUUUCUUUUGCUUCACUAAUAGCAAAGUCAAACCCACUUUCCCUAUAUUCUUCAAAAUAAUUAAUUAACCCUUCUAAAUUUUUUACAGCAACAUCAAGAAGCAUUUCUUUGGAUUGUAACUUUUUGCUUACCAAAUUAAUUUUGUACAAAAUAUCAUACCAUAUAACUAAACUUAAAAUAAAUUCAAAACUAGAAAAUUCACCAUUUAGUAGUGAAUCAGCAUCUCUACACACUUGUCCAUUAUCACUUAUUAUAGAUAGUUUUUUUUAAAGCUUUUCUUAUUUGAUAAAAUUGUGUUUUUAUUGCUUUAACACAUUCAAUAUGACUUUCCCAACGGGUAGCUGAUAAUGAUUAAAGUGUUAGAUCAUCAACAAACUCAAGUAAAACACUCCAUCUUUUGGUUGAAUUGGAAAAAACAUUAUAAAGCGUUUGACAUGUACCAAAAAAAGUUUUUGCCUUUUGGCAAGAAUUUGCCAUAUCACACAAAACCAAAUUUAAACUAUGACAUCCACAAGGCAUAUAAAAAGCUCUAUUAUUUAUAUCAAGCAAUUGUUUUUUAACACCUUUGUGUUUACCUUUCAUAUUUGCCCCAUUAUCAUACCCUUGACCACGAACAUAAUUAAUAUCCAAAUCAAGAGAUUUUAGGGCAUCUUGUAAAACAUUAAAAAGACCAAGACCGGAUGUAUCUUCUACAAUUAGAAACUCUAAAAAAAACUCUUCAACUUUUAAUGGAACACUUUCCAAAUCUACACAUCUUAUAAUCAAAGUCAUUUGUUCUUGGUGACUAGCAUCCGGAGUGCAAUCAAGAAUUAUAGAAAAAUAUUUUGCCCUUUUGAUUUUUUUUAUAAUUGCACAUUUUACCUCGGAUGCUAACAUUUCAAUUAAUUCAUUUUGAAUUUUAUGACUAAGAUAAUGAUUAUGUGUUUCUUUGUCUUGAAUCAUUCGAAAAUGUUCUUUCAUUACCGGAUCCCACUCCGCAAUUGAUUCAAUUACACUUAAAAAAUUGCCAUUUGAGUUUUCAUAAAAUUUUUCAUUUGUACCACGAAAAGCCAAGUUAUUUUUUGCUAAGCAUUUUACAACAGAAAUAAUUCUAACCAUAACUUCUUUCCAAUGUUCGGUAUCUUUUUUUAUCAUUUCUUGAAUUUCUUUGUCAAUUGUUUCGUUUUUAUUUAACCUAAUUCGCGUUUCAUUCCAUGUUCUUAAAUUAUCCAUAUGAUCGGAACUAUUUUCAUGUUGUUUUAAUGUUUCACUAAGAUGCUUCCAAUCUUUAAUUCCUUCGGUUGCCAAACUACUUUUAGUUCGAAUAGUUUUAAACAACUUACAACAAAAACAAAAAACUUUAUCAAGUUCUUUUGAAUACACUAACCAUUUUCUAUCAAAAGAAUCACCAUUUCUUAAUUUCCGAAUGAAAAAAUCAAAUGAAAAAUGUCUACCAAGUGAAUCUUUUGGAAAAAUUGUGUUGGUAUCAACUUCUCUAUUUGGCCCUUUUUCUAUUAGUAAAUCUUUCAUUUUUGAAUCUAAAUCAUCCCAUACUCUAGGAUCAAAAAUAUUAAAAUCACUUGGUUUAUCUUUAUCAAAAAAAUCAUUUUUUUCAAAAUCAUUGGAAAUAUCAACCGAAUCAUUGGAAGUACUAGGUGGAACAUUAAAAUUAUUAACCGGAUCAUUGGAAUUUUGAUUUCUAACAAAAUAUUUAUUCAAAGACCCUCUUAAUUGAUUAGCCUCUUCUUGUUCUUUUCUUUUUCGUUUUCUAUUUUGAGCACCCGAUGGUUGUUUUAGGGGAAACAUAUUUAAAAAUCAGCAAAGAAAAAAGCUAAGCAAAGAAAAAAAAUCAAUAAUUCUAGUUAUAAAAGCUAAGCAAAGAAAGAUACAACCUGGCCAAAGUUUUCAUUUUUAUUUCCCACUUUGAAGAUGCCGAUAAUCUGAAAAUUAAAACAUACAAUCAGAAAUACAAAUCCAUUUUCAACAACUACUGACUAAUAAGUAAUAACACUAUAAUGAAAUAAAUAUAUACCUUUCAAGAUUUCAAAAUAAAUAAAAAUCAGCCUCCCAAGUCCCAAGUCCUGAUUCACAUCACAGAAACAAAAACAAAACUUUAGAUAAUUCAGAAACUGUGGUUGAUGUUCAUACAGAAAUAAAAAAAAUCAUUAGAAGAAAAAUAGAAAACUUACCUUAAUAAGUUGAAGAGCACAAAAUGAGAACUAAAAAGAGAAUUCAGAAACUGUGUUCACUUCGUUUUCUAUUUGAAAACAAUUGAAAAUUCCAAUUUCCAAAUCUGCAACUCAAACAACAAAUCACAAUAUUCAAUUAAUCAUAUUAAGAAAAAAGAAACAAUGAUUGAAGAAAACUCAUAGACUCACAGUCAAUUGAAGAAAACUCACCCAAAAUUCGAGUUUAUCAGAAUGAAGAAUAGAAAUUGGCAAAUUGCAAUCAGAAGAAAACUCACGGCUGUGUUUGUCUGUUUGAUUUCUUUCCUUCUUCACUGGUUCGUACUUCCCUUCUUCACGGCUGUGUUUGAUUUCUUGCCUUCUUCACUGGUUCGUACUUCCCUUGGUUUCCUCGAUUGAACGUAUAGGCUAUAAGUUUUAGAGAAGAUUGAUUGAUUGCAUAAGAAAUUGAGAAGAAGAUUGAAUAAGAAAUUGAGAAGAAGAUUGAAUAAGAAAUCGGCUGAAUCGGUGAUGCUCACACAACAAAUACGUUGAAUCCAUUCGAACGUUGGUCGACCGACUCCUCAUCUCCCGACUCCUCAUCUCCCGAUUGCGCUAAUUCACUUGGCGUUCAAGCUCAAGAGUCAAGAUCGCUGAAUCGGAAUGCCCUAAUGCUGACUUGCUGGACUAUUGGAGUAAUUGGGUUUAAUUUUUGGGCCAAAAUUAUAUACAUAUAUUAUAACUUGCUGGAUAAAAAAUAUGCCCCCAUUUUUUUGAUGCCUUGGGCCUAAGCCCAACUUGCCCAUGUAGUUGGGCCGGCCCUGCAUUGGUUUAUUCUAGUGCGGAAAGUGCGUGUCCCUGUAUAACCCCUCGACUAACACCAAGGCUGGUGUCAAGUCUAUAAUCUCUUCGGGAUCUGGGUCAUGAGGCUUUAACGCAACUACUUUCGCACUUUGAUCAAGUAUUCUUGGCUGCGGAGGUUAUCCUGUGGUUCUCGGUAUUCUAGUGUUCACUUCGGAGAAUGAAGUCUAUCGUCUACAGGGCGACGACGAUUUCCUCCAUAUGAGAAGGUGGAGGAUCCUAGGCACUAUUUGUCUGUAACGGGGUGGACGAAGUGCCUGAGUAGUGCGAACAUCUUCAGCAACUACUCUUCCGAAGGUUCUGAGUUUUCUCGGUCUAGGUCAAAUCUAGUGGGAAUAGGGUUCCAUCACUCGGAACUUUAGUCUCCUCAUCCAUUCUUCUCAGAAUUUAACUCGUCACAGCUUUCGGAUUUCUGGGACAUCCGCUGUGAUGCUCAAAUCAGGGAUUUGAGUGUGAAUGGAUGGUCGCAGUCAUUGGUCUUGACUCUAGCUCUCGUUCCAUGGGAUAGGAUGAAGGGUCUUUCUAGGGAAUCUACUAGGUAUGCUUCGGCUGGUUAUCGUCUUCUGGAAUGCAUGCCGUGCCUUUCGCUUCGGUUCUUAUCUGUCUAAGGACGGUUGGUUAACAGCGUGCGGUACCCCUCUCCUGGGUACUUCGGAAGGUUUGAAUUAAAAAUGACGACUGACGGGUCGCAUUAGUCUUCAUUAUUUUUAUUUUGUUUAGGUUCGGAAGAACCUUUAUUUGCCGACAUGGCUAUGGAAAAGGUUCUUUUUACACAGCACUAAGGAUGUACACAUGGCUGAACGAAGUCAAACCAUGAUCGGUAGAGUCGUCGAAUUUGGCACACUUUGACAUGAUAUAAAAUGAGGGUCAAUAGAGUAAUGCGUCGAACAGGCACACAAGUUCUAGGUGUCUCGGGUUUCGUCAUGUGUCUCACUGUCGCGGACACUUGGACCGAUAGAGUAGACGCGGAACUAUAGAGAGUCCUAAGUGUUCUGAAUAGAGUACCUUUUUCAUGAAUGGAUUCUCACGAGGCAUUUCUAUAAUCGCCUAACAUAUACUAGUCAUGUACAAUUAAGGUGGGGAGGACUGUUGACUGAGCGACUCCGCCCUAAAUCUACAACCAAACAAGGAACAGGAAAUGAGGCGGCAUUCACUCACUCUCGGUCUAUCCAUCUUAACUAUACAUGGCCGUAAUGUAUAUGUUUAGCCAUUAUAGUUUUACCCAAUGAAUUUUAAAUUUUAUAACAGUGUUGCGACUUUCGCCUUAAUGGGGAAGUAUUUAUAUUGAAUUUGCCUUUUAAUGUUUUGCGUUAGUUAUCUGGGAUCGACAGACGUACCAAAAUCUACCAGGUUCCUUGAUGCUUCUCCCUAAGCAUUAGAGUUUGACUCCUCUUGUAUCUUUGUCUUUCCCUUCGGUUGGGCAGUCCUUCUUGAAGUGUCCUACUUCACCACAUAGGUGGCAAACUAUAUGGGUCGCCACAUUGGUGGUUGAUGUAAUGAAUUCAACCGGGGUUCUGCAGAUGCGAGCAAUAUGCCCCAACCUGUGACACUUAGCACAAUAGAGCUCCCGGCAGACACCAUGAUGAUGGUAACUGCACUUGCUGCAAUGGGGAAGGUUUCCUAAGUAUGGUCUCCUAGGUGUAGGGAUGGAAGGGUUGGUAGGGAAUUUGACCAUCUCAGCUCGUUACCCUUCGGAAGGUCCUUGAGCCGAGGUACUUCCCUUCUCGAUCUUGAUCUUUCUCUUCAGUGGAUUUGAGUGAGGUUCUUGGGUGGCUGGGUAUGCCAGGGUUGGUUGUUGCUGUGCAUUGCUAGGAUCGGAAAUCCCGAUAAGGCCCUUGCUAACAUUAGCGUUGUUAGCAUUCAGGUGAGCCAUGACAACUGCUAUGGCUGCCGAGACUGUAGUUUCGAACGUAGCUUCAUCGAAUAAGAGAGUAGGUUUCUUGCUUGCGGACUGGUUGCGCUUCUUUGGUGGCAUGGUUUUUCCUACACGGAAAGGAAUACAGAUGAUGAGACGAUGGCUAGGCCUGGACAUAGCUGUCCUGACUGUAUUAGGCNNNNNNNNNNNNNNNNNNNNNNNNNNNNNNNNNNNNNNNNNNNNNNNNNNNNNNNNNNNNNNNNNNNNNNNNNNNNNNNNNNNNNNNNNNNNNNNNNNNNAUUAAAAACAAAAAUUUUUGGGUCGUAUUUUUGGGUCGUUUCAACAAGGUAGGAGUGUGAGUAUCAGAAAAAGGCCAUAAGAUGCGAGUCGUUCCUACUAAGUUACCUUUAUACAGGGAAAGGUUUCACUCUCCAGCCUGGAGAGAUUUGAGAACAGUCCGGAACGAAACCGCGGAAAGAGAGGCUCAUGAAGUCUUAUGGCUAGGCACUUUCAAUAGAGGUGCGGGGAUCCGCUCUAAUCGUGUAACUGGCAACGGGAAACGACGAUUUACCUAACACAUAGUGUGAGUAGUGUAACCACUAACUCACUAAAUUGUAUUAUUUUAAGGGUGUAUUAGCGUGACGAACACGAGGGUAAGACUCUUCUUGGGUUCCAUGUACUGGCUCCCUCUGUUUGCCUUGUAUCUUUGACUGGAAUCGACGUUGGUUUCCUUCAGGUAGUUACCUAGGGUUCUCUCCUCUUAUGGACAUAUUGAAUCUCUACGCUGCCUUGCCUCCGAAUCCGACUCUGGGUGUCAUCACUUCAUGAUGGAUGACUGGGAAUCUCGGAAGCUUAGGCGAAUUUCUCACCGAUGUCCCUAAAAGAUAUAGGCACUUGGUGAAUUCAAUAGUCUUGACCCGGUUCAUUUAUUUCCGAACAAGAAAUCUUCUCAAUGAACUUUUUCGGGGUCGGAAUCAACUCUUCUGCCAAGCACUGAAGUGGGUAGGGUUGUCUACAGGGUUCGUGCGAGAAUGGAAAUGUCUAAAGAAUCCUAAGAGAUUAUUAACAUUUCACUAGAUGAUCCAUAUCGAGUCCUGCUACGAUUACACAGGGUAUACAAAUCAUAUAUAGCUUAGAUCCGAUAGGCCUUCGAAUAUGUGAUACUACUCUAGAACCACAUCCCAACGAGGAAAAGGAAAUAGGGUGAAACCACACAUUCUUAGCCUAUGGGAUCCUUAUUAUAUAUAACCUUGGAAGUAUACUCUCUGUAAUUGUAGGGAUAUCAAUAAGGAUCUUUUAGUUCUUCACACAAGGUUGGUUAUGGAUCCUAAAAUACCCCUAUGGUAUUUUAAUUUCUUGUUUGUUUUCUUAUCUUCUGAAUAUGAUUCUGGGUUUAGUGUGAGUCUUUUAGUAUUCCAAAAUACUCCUAUAGUAUUUUAACUUUAUGUUUGGCUCUAGCAUUCCUAGUUGGUAAGUUUCAGACCUGUUGCAACACCACUAUCACUCCCAAGCACACGUUCAUCACAUCUUGAAUAAAUGUAGUUGAUCAGGUUAUAUUUAUUCCAGCUUAAGAUUACAUAACUGCCCGGGUUUGACGGUAAUGCUCAACAUCUAAAGACUUUUAUUAUUGUUCUUCUUGUGAUACUUUUGUUCGAGUGUUUAGAUUCUGGAUGUUCUUAUUCUUUGGUAAAAUAUGGUUAUAUUUUAAAGUAUAAUUCUUGGUCAGAGUGUUUUAUCCCUUUGUGUUUAUAGGUUGUAUAUCUUUUAUGAAUUGAUAUACUUAGCUCACUAUAAACAAUGCUCUGAUACCAAUCUGUCACACCCCAAAACCGGAACGGCGGAAACGUUCUGGGGUGGAUGACGU
rnacentral:lncRNA from 1 species